rnacentral:rRNA from 1 species
GACGAACGCUGGCGGCGUGCUUAACACAUGCCAGUCGAACGGAAAGGCCCUGCUUUUGUGGGGUGCUCGAGUGGCGAACGGGUGAGUAACACGUGAGUAACCUGCCCUUGACUUUGGGAUAACUUCAGGAAACUGGGGCUAAUACCGGAUAGGAGCUCCUGCUGCAUGGUGGGGGUUGGUAAGUUUCGGCGGUUGGGGAUGGACUCGCGGCUUAUCAGCUUGUUGGUGGGGUAGUGGCUUACCAAGGCUUUGACGGGUAGCCGGCCUGAGAGGGUGACAGGACACAUUGGGCCUGAGAUACGGCCCAGCCUCGUACGCGAGGCAGCAGUGGGGAAUAUUGCACAAUGGGCUGAAGCAUGAUGCAGCACCGCCGCGUGCGGGAUGACGGCCUUCGCGUUGUAAACCGCUUUCGCCUGUGACGAAGCGUGAGUGACGGUAAUGGGUAAAGAAGCACCGGCUAACUACGUG